CGGCGUUGACACGAUUGACAUUUUAAAAAAGUGCGUUUUGUGAAUGUCUGUGUCAAUCGAGAUCAGAAUUAUGACUUUUCAGUAGAAAAAUACUAUUUUUGAAGCUAAACCGAACCACAAAUGCUUAAUAGUUGAAUGCUGUUCAUGAGUGAGUGAGUCGAGCUUGGAUUCCUGUAAAAAUGUCACACAGGGACUCCGGACCGAUCCCAAAUAGGUGGUUGAAAUGUCCACGGAAAGCCACGGGGCUAGUUGCGGGCAAAUUCUUGGCUUUCAAGACUCCCCUAGGUCACCAGUUCAAUGACAAGGUGCCCGAAGAGAACCGCUUUACACCAUCAAUGUUGUUUUUAUAUAUGAAAAGCCAAAAGAUGAAGCUUGGGAUGUGGAUCGACUUGACAAACACUAACCGUUUCUACGACAAAAAGGAAAUCGAGGAUAUGGACUGUAAAUAUGUGAAAUUGCAAUGUCGUGGUCAUGGGGAGACCCCGUCGGCGGAACAAACUAAACUAUUUAUCCAGCUUGUAAGCAAAUUUGUAAGUCAGAAUCCGUUGGAAGUGAUUGGAGUACAUUGCACACACGGAUUCAAUCGUACGGGAUUCUUACUUGCAUCAUAUAUGGUUGAACAGCUGGAUUGUAGUGUUGAGGCAGCGUUAAAUGAGUUUGCAAAACUUAGGCCUCCAGGAAUCUAUAAACAAGAUUACUUAGAAGAGCUGUACCGUCGCUAUGACGAUGUGGAGUAUACCCCAGCGGCCCCUAAAAGACCAGACUGGUGCAAUGAAGAGGAAGAGAUUGAUUAUGAUGAUGAUGACACACCAAGCAACUCACAAAGUAAUUCAUCACCACAGAAAUCAAACCACAAACCCAGAAAAGGUAGGAAAGAGACAACGUCAAAGAAGGCGUCGUUCAUGCCGGGUGUUAGAGGAGUGGAACCGUUCAACACUCAGCCCCGUCUCAGCGAGGUACAAAGGAAAACUCAGGACUUUUGUGAGUGGGCCACCACGGGCUUCCCGGGGUCGCAGCCGGUGUCCAUGGAUGUUACGAACUUGAGGAAGCUGCAUCAGAAACCUUAUAGGGUUUCGUGGAAGGCUGAUGGGGUUAGGUAUAUGAUGCUAAUAGAUGGAGAAGGAGAGGUGUAUAUGUUAGACAGGGAUAACUGCGUGUUCCGUGUAUACGGGCUGCGGUUCCUGUACAAGAAGGAUUUGAGGAGACAUUUGAGCAAUACUCUAUUGGAUGGUGAGAUGGUGAUAGACAAAGUGAACGGGCAAGAGAUCCCGCGGUACCUGUGCUACGACAUCAUCAAGUUCGAGGGCCAGGACGUCGGCAAGAUGGCCUUCUACCCUGUAAGACUGAACUGCAUCGAGAACGAGAUCGUGAAUCCAAGACAUCAAGCAAUGAAAGAAGGCAUAAUAAAGAAGGAGCGUGAACCAUUCAGUGUUCGGUUAAAACAGUUCUGGGAGCUACCGAUGGCCCAUCAGCUGUUAGGAGAGAAGUUUGCGAAGACAUUGUCACAUGAACCUGACGGACUGAUCUUCCAGCCUUCGAAAGAGCCCUACGUAGCUGGGCGGUGCGAUGACGUGUUGAAAUGGAAACCGAGCCACAUGAACAGUGUGGACUUUAAGUUGAAAAUCAUCACAGAAGGUGGAACGGGCAUCCUACCUACAAAAGUGGGCCACCUAUACGUGGGCCAGCUAGACAUCCCGUUUGCAUCGAUGAAGGUGACGAAAGACAUCAAACAUCUGGACAAUAAGAUCAUAGAGUGCAAGUUCGAGAACAACCAGUGGGUGUACAUGAGGGAACGCACUGACAAGUCAUAUCCUAACAGCUACACCACAGCCACAGCCGUAUGCGAAAGUAUAAAGGACCCUGUGACCAAGGAGCGGCUGCUAGAGUUCAUAGACAACCACCGGUUCCACGACGACUCGGACAUGAUGCCGCCGCCGAAGCGCGUGCGCCGAUAGUAUUACUCUAUAGUCAGGGGAAUGUCAGCACGCCUAUACCGUCACUUGACAGCUGACAUGUGAACAACUGGCAUCUGUCAAAAUCAAAUUCUUAGCCAAUGGUGCUAAUUCCUGUAAAUACCAUCUAAUUUUAUUUUAAGUUAUAUCUGUCAUUUUCUUAUCCGCCGAAAAGGAAAGGGACGGGUAAUCGACAAGCAUAAAAUUUAUGGAACACACGUCAAUUUUAAGCACAAAUCUAAACCAACCGUCUAAAAAUUUUACAUCCGUCAAUAACCCGACACAGUUAAGUAGACAG
rnacentral:misc_RNA from 1 species